rnacentral:lncRNA from 1 species
UUCCCCUCCCGCGCUGCCCCCCCUCCCGCAGUGCUUCCCCUCCCGCGCUGCUCCCCCUCCCUCAGUCCUUCCCCUCCUCCGCUGCUCCCCCUCCCGCACUGCCCCCCCCCCGCGCUGCUCCCCCUCCAGCGCUGCUCCCCUCCUGCAGUGCUCCCCCUCCCAUGCUGCUCCACCUCCAGCGCUGCUCCCCUCCCGCAGUGCUCCCCUCCCGUGCUGCUCCCCCUCCAGCACUGCUCCCCUCCCGCGCUGCUCCCCCUCCCGCGCUGUUCCCCCUCCCACGCUGCGCCCCCUCCUGCAGUGCUCCCCCUCCCGUGCUGCUCCCUCUCCAGCGCUGCUCCCCUCCCGCGGUGCUCCCCCUCCAGCGCUGCUCCCCGUCCAGCACUGCUCCCCUCCCGCGGUGCUCCCCUCCCGCGGUGCUCCCCCUCCCGCGGUGCUCCCCCUUCCCGUGGUGCUCCCCCUUCCCGUGGUGCUCCCCUCCCGCGCUGCCCCCCCUCCAGUGGUGCUCCCCCUCCCGCGCUGCUCCCUCGGCCCCUGACAAAUUGCACCACCCCGGGAUACUGCCCGCCAGCCUGCAGGUUCAUUUUACUGGCUCCUCUGCGAAUGGAGGCCGAAUUGGUCUUUCACUUCCAAUUUAGAGGCGGCUUCCGCGUUGGAAAUCAGAAUUAUUUGCCCUCCUGUGCACGCAUCACGCCGGAGACUCACAGGGAUUCCAACUGCGCCAGAAGCGUCAACAGGGUCUCAGCGCAGCAGAUAAUCAAGAACCUGUUGACGCUGAAAUUAUCCGCAAAAGGGCAAUUUUUGAUUGUUAGACUGUCUUUGAAAGCAGUUACAGGAAAAGCCAAGAGGAAGACUUUCAUACAAAUCAGGACACGUAUUCCUUCUUCAAGGGGAAAGAUAGACCAUCAGUACUGCUUUUCCAAUUAUUUGUGUUUUCAAAUAUACAUCAAUCCCAAGAAAAGGAAUUAAGUAUUUGACUCAAUCCAGGAAACGUUUACCGAGCACCUACUGUGAGUAGGUACGGAGUUAAAAGAAGCUCAAGCCGUGAGCAGGCUGGGGUCCCUGGUGGAGACCGUGGCCCCCCAAAACUUCAUGAUGGAAGACACAGGGAGCCUUUAGUAGGCUUCUCGUUCCUUUUCAAUGCACUGGAGCCCUUGCAUCACCCUCCCAGGCCGCUGGGAGCUUUGUCACUGAUCUUUGGUGAGCUGUUCACUCAAAGAAAGUAAGGAGGGAGGAAGGAAAGAUCGCUGCCUUCGGGGGGCCUGCACCCCCGCAUCGCGCCCGCAGCCCCUGCCCCGGGCUGGAUAAAGCACCUACUUAUUUACUCUCCUCUGCUCAAGAAAGUGCACGUCUGAAAUUGUUCAGAGAUGCAGAGCAAGAUUCAGCAACCGGGGGCCAGGUCCUAGCUGGUGCGGGGAGUGGGGUAACCUGAUUUUCGGGUGGUUGGCAACACAGUGGGAAGUGGGGAUGGGCAGCGGGGAGAGGUGGGAGCCUUCCUUGCUGCCCUCUCCCCCCCAUCACCCUCCAUCCCGGGGAGCCUGAUGGUUUCUCUGGGGUGUCCCCAGAUAUGCAAGUGGCAGACGAGCUCCUCAGCCCAUGGUGGCCCCGUACCCACAUCCACAUUCAGAGCCAGGGGCUGAAGGAAGCCCUGACCCCCAUGCCCUGAAGUCACAGACUCCCUUGUAGGCCCUGAUGGGAUGACAAGAGCUACUGUGACCCCUGACCCCUCGAGAACUCCCUGACGGAGAGACAGAGGGGGGGACAAGGUGCCUUUAUCCUGCUUGGAGAGCUCAGAAGCAAACAUACAGGAUUAAUAACAAGUAUUUUACCAACGGAUUAUAAAAUAAGCAGGCUUUGAGUUUCCCCAUUCCCCUGCAAUUAUGAUGAAUGACACUCAAACAUAAAAAUAUCUGUAGUCCCAAUUUUCACUGAAGUCCCUUCCUUAAGAUGAAAACAGUGCUUACCCACCGUUGUGCUUUGGAUCCUUCCUCGAAUCUUCACAUCUGUUAGGAGGCUUUGUUGCCUAUCAGAUUAUAUUUGGGAAAGUUUUCCGCAGCGCUUCAAAAACAGGAAAUUGGCAUCUCUGUGGAUCGUAAAUCAAAGUUGGAUGGAAACCCCCCUCUUCUGACUUGCUGAGUGCCAGCUAAGCUCCUGCGCACCUCGUGAAAAUAAACGCAGGAAGUUCUGAGGAUGCUUCUGCAGGGCUAAAAAAAAAAUUACAUAUAUAUAAAAUCACUUGAUAUCAACUCCCAACACAUUGAUACCUUAUU